GACGAACCGAGCGAACGUUGUUCGGAAUCACUGGGCUUAAAGGGCGCGUAGGCGGGUGCUCAAGUCCGGGGCGAAAUCCUCCAGCUCAACUGGAGAACUGCCUCGGAUACUGGGUGCCUCGAGUGUGGUAGGGGUGCGCGGAACUAUCGGUGGAGCGGUGAAAUGCGUUGAUAUCGAUAGGAACUCCGGUGGCGAAGGCGGCGCACUGGACCACAACUGACGCUGAGGCGCGAAAGCCAGGGGAGCAAACGGG
rnacentral:rRNA from 1 species